AGCAGUAACUGAAUCAAGAAGCCAGCCAGCUGCUUUUAGCCAAUCGUGCACUCGUCUAAAGCUGCUCUGUGACUGGCUAGGAUUCUGUUGUCUACAGUUAUGACUAUAAAGUGUGGUUAUCAGUGUUUUAAUGUGUCGCUUCAUAGGAACAAGAGCUGAAAAUGCGAUACGAAAUCCAAUGAAGACCAAGAUGGCGUUCGAAGUGCUUGCUACAAAGAAGGCGCGUUUGGAGCCUAUGCCCGUCUUACCUGAACGCUUCGUUCGGCCUGUGCAAAGAACUACUGUGCAGAUAGCAACAGUCGUCGACAAGAAGUGUACCUCCUCCAUUGUGAAAUCUCUGAGCGAGCAAUUUCCCCUAAAGGAGUUACAACAUCUAAAACGGGUUCGGAACAACGGAAACGUUCUGGAAGUAAUAUUGUGUCACGACGCGAAGGACCUUGGGGCAGCUAGCGCAGUCGUUAAACAAGGCCUUGAUCUUGGCACCAUUCGCAAACAUGAGGUAUCGCUUCACACACCGCUGACACGCGAGCAAUUCGACGAAUGUUUAAAGAUGUGGCCUACACAAUUCCAUGAGGAUAGGUUUACCAAGAGUAUAUUGGAUGGGACAAUUUUUUCUGCUUCAGAUCGUGAACAAAUGAGGAAAUGCAUGCAGAUCGUUGUCGAUAGGGCUCGCGACGAACAAUCCAUAAUGGUAUCGUCGCCAACGAGUUGCGGUGCUGCUGAAAUGACAUUCAAUGUCGCAGCAAUCGUGAAUCCUCGAAACGGUUUAGUGCUUGCCGUUGGCGUGGACCGAAGACAUGUCCAUCCCGCCCUUCACGCCACAAUGGCAGCUAUUGAUCUUGUAGCCGCAUUACAGGGCGGCGGUGCAUGGGGUACAGAAAGGUUGUUGGGAGUGAGAGAAGUACCAAACAACGAUCAGAUGCUCAAGAGCUGCGACCACUCCGCCACUGGCGAAGAUGGCGAUAGCACAAAAACGCCAUAUAUCUGUACAGGUUACGAUGUGUAUUUACUGCGAGAGCCAUGUACGAUGUGCGCAAUGGCCCUAGUGCAUUCGAGAGUUCGACGAGCGUUUUACGGAUGUUCAGAUAAGGUUCGAGGGGCUUUAGGCAGCCGAUUCAGUGUCCAUUGCCUUGGAGAUCUAAAUCAUUCGUUUCAUGUUUGGAAGAAUGUCCUUCGGGAAGAAUUGCUGCAUACGAACAGGCUUGAAUAAACCACAAAAUAUGGAAUGAACGGCAUCGAAAGACAGGUGACGUAAGGAUCGAUUGGGAACCAACAAGAUAACAUUGAGAGGGCAGGACUUUGUGCACCGCAAUUGAGCAAAGCGUGUUGAAUCUACAUUUCGCAUGACAGAAAAAUAAAUCAGUGCAUGGUGGAAGUUUCGACACGACGGGAAGUAGUUUAUUGGGAAAUUGUAUUUUAUAGCACCUUGAACGCAAUCAACGAUGUGCUAAUUCCAUCUCAUCUCUCGGACAAAGUGCGUAAUCCGUGUGAUUUUGGUUAUUCAUUUGUGUACUUAUGAUCAUUUUACUGGACGGAAACCCAGUCGAAACCUUAGUUUACCGUAGAGUAGAUGUUAGCGCGUAAAGAGAAGCGUAUCUUCUUUAAUAUGUUAUGUGGUUGCAGUGUGUCACACACGGAUAUCGACGAAAAGUCCCGCGAGUACGUUUGCCGUUCAAAACUACUUAACUUUACGGAGGACCUUUUCUGAGAAAUACACACACGGUAAAACGCUGUGCUGAAGUACGAGAUGCAGACCUCCGUUAAAUGCCGAUUGAGAAGUCUUAGUUUUGUUAAUAUAUUUCAAUCGUCCUGUGUUUAAAAGAAAUUCCCAACAGUCAAUUAUGGAACGUCGUUAGUUAAUGCUAGCUUAAAGUAAACGUCGUCCGGAAAACACCAGGCUAUUUUUGUUGCUAAUAAGUCAAAUGUAGUGGCUGUCCGAAUAAUGCGCUAAACUAUAGAUCAAACAUAAAAACAACAUUGAAAACUCAUUUCCAAUAACUCCAUAGUAUUCUUAAUGUUUCGUAGUCAACCAUCCCGGUUUCUCAUGUCCUGCAUUGUUUGCCACUGGCAAUUGUAGCCCUUAAACUAUUUGCCUUAUUUUAAGAACCGACACUUAUUUGCGCUUUGUUCUCUGCUGCUAGCUAGUUUCACCUGCAAUUGUUGGCAACGUUUAAUUCGUUGUAUUGAGAUACUAGUUUUGUGAGAUAAGUUGGAACGAUGGGUCAGACAAGCUGGUAUUGCCGUACCUAUCUGUGAACGGACGGUUCGCUUCCAUAAAAUUCUUUAGCGAACAAUUGACCACUAUUUGGGCAGGCCCGCGUAUUCUACAUGAGCCUCGUUUGAACAUGUCGCCUCAGCGGACCGGAUACAUGCAAAGCAUCAACAUCGAUAUGUCUGUCGAUACACGAAGAUUAAUGGCUGGCAGAGCGGUAUUAACACAGCAUUCGAUUUGGAUUCCUACGAGACGGGACACAGCAAGUCGGCCGGACGAGCUGACCCAGUCAGAUUGGAUCGUCGUUUGGUUGAACUGAAUGCCAUCAAGAUAAUCUCGCAACCGAAAGACGCACCCCAGUAACAAAAGUACUCGACAGAGAAGCUAUAUUAGAACAUAACUGGCAAAUAUCAAAUUUCCAUAAUAAAAAUAUGCAGACUAUACAUAUAUGGUCUACCUAUCGUGAGUUCUAUAGCGGUUACUUGAAUCUGGUAUGUACGCGCUGUUAGGUCGCUGGUCAGAAUCUAAAAAUCCGCAAAACGAUACUGCUAUUCAAUAUUCUGUAGCUUGCAAGAAUCAUACACGUCUGAGCAGUACUGGUGCAGACUAUACGGAUAUUUUCGUAAUCAAGGCGAGAAGGUCCUGGCUCAUCAGACGUAAACCGGUCAGUCCUAGGAUAGCCAACUAGAACGCAAUGGUGUCUACCUUUAGACAGUGGAAUAAGAUUGCUAAAUGCUCAAAAUUAGUAAGAAACAAUUUGGCUAAAAACCAAAUACAAACUAUCCGCUUGUAAAAAUGGUAAUGAUAAUUUGGUACAUAUUAGAAUGUUAGCCUGCAACCAUUGUACAGAUAUCUCGUCAGCAGAAACUAGUUUCCAUCAUUGUUAUUUUCAUUGAAUUCACAAUUUCAGCAUGAAGCCGAAGUGUUAUCGCACUAGAAUAAAAAGGGCGUUACGAUGCAGUCAAUCAGAUCUUUCUGUUUGUGGGCGUAUUUUUUUUUCGUUUAGCAUACUCAAAGAUGAUAUUUUGUUUGUCGCAAUUUUGAAUGCUAUAUCCCAUUAUGCCGAUUGGAAAUCAAUAACGUGAACCUGCCACUAAUAGUGUUUUUAUUCGCUCGAUAUCUUUCUAACCGUUCGAAUAUCUAUGAUAUUAAUACAAUGAUAUUUGAACUGCAUGAAUUAUCCGGUCGCAGUGAGAAUUUUUUUGUAAAUUGUAUAUAUAUAUAUAUAUAUAUAUAUGUAUAUAAGUAUUGUGUAACUUCAUCAAACGAUAUCAAAAGCAAUUGUGUUUCGCAGUGACAUGCUGCGUACAAACGAGCCAUUCAUUUAUUUUGGUAGACAGGUGCUACAAUACAAGCCGACAAAUGUAUAAUGCUUUUUCUGUGUUUACUUCUUUCCCUGAACAUCUGGUCUCUAUGGAAGUCUGCCUUCAUAAAUUAUAAUAGAAUUAGCGUUUUUCAUUUAUGUGUAAAGCAUGUCGACGUAUUCUUGAAUAGAGUUCUUUUAUUUAAUUGGGCGUUAAAAUUGUCAGUUAUCAACCAAAAAGUUUUGACCCGGACUUCCACCAUCGAUUGUUAUCGAUCUCCGUUUGUUGUGAACGAACCGCUUGCGUUGCCGUAGUUAACAGGGGUUUAUCAGCGGGCUAUUACCGCUGUUAAUACUCGUGCGAAACGCAAAGUGAGCAACUUUGCUCUAAAGACGAUGUCAAUGGAGGCCUUGGCAUGUUGUGACACCGAUGACCAAAGUCCCUCGGCUUAUCUUCCUCAGCGCUUACUGCUGACAGCCCAGUGGAAUACGUGAACGAUGAAUAGCGGAGAAAACGAAGAGAUUUCGGGUUUGCUUUUUUGGCUGUUAAGUGUCGCGGCCCAGGAAGAGAAAUCACGAUUUAAUAGCCAUACAAUCGUAGUAACAGUCUCUGUGAUGUGAUUAUAACAAUCAAUGUCGGUAUAUCACCGCAUCGCAGUGGCGAUUGUAACGAAACAGAAAUAGCUGAAAAUCAAUGAAAAUAUUAGUCACACUGAUAAUAUACCGUAAAUUGAUAAUUACAGCUCAGCUGAAGAAAGAAUUGUAAAAGAGAGAUCAAUUAAAGCGACUUAUACGAGGUGCAGGGUAUAAAGAGACGAAAGCAUGAUAUUAUUAAAGGUAGUAGAAAAGAAAACAAAAGCGCGAGAGAGAUUACCUAAGUCCUUUAGUGAUGAUCUUAAUUGGGCGUUAAUACGCUGUUAAGUUUGACGUCUUGGAAUUAAGCCAUCAGGUAUUGGUUCGGACGACUGGCUUUUUAAGGCUAUGGCAGGAAUCGAACUUAGAUCACUAAGUGUUUUAGGUUAGGCCGUAACCACUGUACUAUUAUGGGUACAGCGAUGGCGAAAUGAGAGAGGUAGGCGUUCGUUAAUAUAUGUGUGGAAGGUGUUUCACCUUCAAGUUUCUCACGCCGCGUCACUCACUGAGCAUGUCAGGGACAUGCCUCGUAACAAACCUUUUACAGACGGCUAUAGCAGUUGACUGACUUGAUAUAUUUUACUGAAAUUCACUGCGUAUUUUCGAGGUUUAACUGUGCAUAUAAUUUAUAUACUCUCGAUUUAGGUAAAAAAAAAUGAUGUUUCUCAAAGGAUCUGUAUACAUACAUGAAAAAGCGAUUUACCUGAACUUUCAUUCAAAUUACGUCACCGAAAAAAUCACGUCGCUCAGAUCCACAAUCUAUCCAGUAAACCAGAUCAUCAUAGCAGAGCUGAAUGUCCACUUGGCGAAUACCAUUCGAUCUUCGCUAUGCCACCGUCUGUCAUUAGCAGUUUAGAAGGGCAAUGCCCCCGCGGCUCUUCUGAGCGCUGACAUUCCCGGCGUCAGCCAAGACGGAUAGGCAAAAAGAAAUCUCGCCUGACUAUGCCAAGUUCAUAUGCACACAAACAAGCCUUAGACAGUUUUCGAAAUGAAAAAAGAAAGUCAGUCUUUAAAAAGUAAGCUCGACAGAAGCGGCACAGGUUGUCCAUGCACAGGUCAUCGAUUUUAGCAAUUUUUGUUGUUAUUAUGAAUAGAGCUCCCGUGCGAAAACGCUGAAUUAGGUUCUUUAGCUGACGUUGAAAAGAUCGGCUUUUUUUUUUCAUGAAAAAUACAUUCGUCAAGUUAACGUUCAUUGCCUUUCUUUUGCGUGGGCCGCGGCUAGGUUUGACCUAUAUUUUUACUGAUUUGGGAAAAUAUGGACAUUAUAGCAGCCUACUUUUGUAUCGACUUGAACCAUUUUGCACGGAAAGAGCCAAAAUAGAUCUUCGCUGUUGUGUGUGCUUCGAGUCACUGCUAGAAAAUUCGUCAGUACCCAUCUUCAUCAAUAUAACAUCUUUGCUUCUCAUUUACUUUACGAAUAGAUCAAGAUACGACAAGCUAGUCUUGUAAUAUUUAAGUUUUACGUUGCGUGCAUACAUUUUCUAAGCUACCUUGGUGUCCUCAAUUAUCUGUCGAAUAACUUGCUUGAACAAAAGUUGGCUAAAACAUGUUUUUCUCAAGUAGAAUCGUUUAGGCGCGCAAUGUGCUGUGUCCGAUUAUGUAAAUUUCGCCUAGAUAAUUUGGCAAGAUUAGCGAUUAGAAUAGACUUGGGCGCUUUUAAACGGAGACAGUUCGUAUGUAUAUAGUUUCCGACGCGUCAUCAGUUAAAUCGGUAGCUCUUUUCCCAGUCUACUGUAGUUUUCGUGCCCCAUACCACGCAGCGACGUCACAUGCGGCAGUCCUUUGUCAUUCCCAUGGCCUAUUAUGACACAACAAUGAGAAAGAAACAUAUCAAAUACUUCGACAUUUAGAUUCGACAAUACAUCACAGUAAUGUUUUGCCUUUUUCUAAAAUAUGCCGAGUAUUCGACAAAAGUAGGUUGCCGGUGCAUUUCGUCAUCAGGGUUGUGAUCUUAAAUUUGUACGGGAUUGUUGUGUGCAUUUUCCAGCGAUAGUUAAUUUGUCAAUGAAAUUAUUCGAUCAUUUACAGAAUAUACGUAAUGAAUGCAUGAGCUUGCAGCACAGUUGAUCUGUGAUUGUCUUCUAGUUGUCGUAUAAAAUUUGCAGCUAUAAAAAAGCUCUCACUAUAAGUGUAUGCCCAAGGCACGGUACCUAUUGUGGAACAGAUGCUUCGGAUAAAUGUACGCACUCAUGAAAUAUAGCAUUCUUCUCGCCGGACCUCCGAUAACAAAUGCAGUAUACACCGACGAUCUCGAAUUGUCCGAAAGAGGCUAUCUUUCUAGUUCUUCAUCUAGUAUUUAUGUUCUUAUGAAGUCAGGCGAACUAAGUUUUUUUUUUACAAACACUAUGUGCGUCUGAAACAGCUGGCGGUUAUAUAUCCAUUACCCAUUGAGCUUUUGUACUAACGAAAAAUUAAUCAUAAUAAUAAAAACAGUUGUGAUUGUCAAAUUGUUAAUCGGCUGUUUUCUUCUGUAAUCUAUUACACUUCAACUGAACUAAAUUUUAGGUUCAAGGGUUGCCAGUGUUCAUAGGGCCUUGACUGUUACGACAUCUUACGACAUAAUCCUCACACAUAUAACUGUAUAUACAAACACGGCAAAAACAAAGCUCUAACAUCGGAUUGAUUAACCAGGAAGAUUGCCUGUCACCAUGUAGUUUUCGAUAUAAGAAAGGCCCAUUGGCUGCAAUGAUCAGCCGCACACAGGAAGAUUUUGACAUUACCGAUCUUGCCGUUCAUUGAAACGAAGUGGUCAUAAAGUUAAAAUGGUACCGCUAUUACAGGAUUUCCGUGAAAAAAAAAAUAGCAAUUUUACCGAACAUCCAAUACCGUUAGAACAUUGUUGACCAGUAGAGGAGGAUAAUGUUCUGAAGCCAAUCGAAAUCACACGACUGGCCAUGAGACCACUUAUAAGAACAUUCUCAAAUUCGUCAUUAGAAAACGUGGAAAUAAAGACUUUUAUUCCAUUGCUUUUGAAGGGGUUGGCCUAUUCGUGAAUCUUUUUUUUUGGCAUUUCCUUCUGCUCGAACAAAAUAGGAGCAGGAAUAUUGAAUACCAAGGACCGCAAUUCUGUGCGACCUACCUACCAUCCAAUGAAUAUGUCUGUUAGCAAACGAGUUUACGGGCAACACCUGCCUUUGCGACAGAUUUCUGCCUGAUAAUUGAAAGGCUAAUGUUCCGUAUUGGAACUGUGAGCAUUUUCGUCGUUUUCUGUCGUUGUUUCUUUGAGAAGUCGAGCCACAAGCAGAAAAGGAAAAAGAAAACUAAUCGAACAAUUUAACUCAUUGACAAAUUCAAGUGGUAACCAGGGCCGCAUGUAUAGAUAGAAUUUUGACGAAGUAAAAUAACUUACGCCGGCAGACACAGUGGCACAAACUAGGACUUCGAUGGACGGAUUUUGGGAUCGUUUUUUGUCUCGCCUCUUUUCUCGCUCAAACGCAUUGCUCUAAUAAGCAGCGAAAAAUGAAUCCUCUAUAAUGUCAAUUGUUAAAUCACCACUGCAAGCAACUGGAAGGGAACAAGAGUUCUUGUAUUCAUCUACUCGAACAGUUUGCAUGUAGUGGACACCCAAAGCUUAACAAUCGGAUUUCUAAGAUAAUUGCAAUGCGUUUAUCGCGAUGAGAUUCUGGUCUAUCUAUGUGAUAGGGUAUGAAGGUGGCUUUUUAUUUUUUUUACUAAUUUUUAGGGUGUUAGAAAUUGUAACAAACCAUAAGCGAAAAUGACAUCAAACUUUAUUAAAGGUUGCCUUCGAAUGCAGUCAAAUUUAAUAAGAUAUUUGUCAAGUUUAAUGUAAUGCGUGUGCCCGCCAUAAUAGCUCGUCAUUGUGACUUGUGACUAGAAAUAAGCGUCGACGUGCGGCGUUUGUGUGUAAACUUUCAUGGAUAAUAAAAUGACGAUCAAUGUUAAAACAUCUGAUAUAGUAAAAAAAGAAAUGUUUAUGAUAAUUUUCAAGGACAAGUAAUAUAAAGCCUUAGUUAUACUAAACAAAUAUUACAACCAAUAAACAAACA